UUUAAGACUCUAGUUUCCAUUUAGCAGUUGUAAUAUAAGAUUGACCAAUUAUUACUAGAUAUAUAGUAGAAUUUUAUACAAAAAAAAUUUGCUCCUCUUCCACAUGUCCAAUCCUAAUCUUUAUAACUGAAUAAACUCCAUAUAAAUCAUCUUAUUGGUUAUUUGUAGCUCUAAUUACUCAACCAUGGUUGGUAUCAAUUAGUCACUUAUUCUUCUCAUAUAUUUACCUUGAUAUAAUAUUGAUUUUAGAUCCAUGAUAAACUAAGGCCAAAAUUGGAUCUUUAAAGUCUUCUAACCUCAUAUAUGUCUUAAUAGUAGCUCUAGUCUAAUAAAGAGCUGAAUAGCUAUUAAUUUCUAUUCUAUUAUUAUCACAUUUAGAACAAAUAUUUAUACAUGCUUGUUGUGCAUUCUUCUUUAUCUCCAUAAAUUCUAUAGAUAUACAUUCUAUUUGAUGCUCUUC
rnacentral:lncRNA from 1 species